ensembl:snRNA Gm25143 U6 spliceosomal RNA
GUGCCCUCUUCUACAGCAAAUAUAUAUUCAAAUUGGAAUGAUACAGAGAAGAUUAGCAUUGUCCCUGAGCAAGGAUGACAUGCAAAUUCGUGAAGUGUUCCAUAUUUUU